GAAGCAUCAGCUGUUAAAGAAAUUUUGCCUAAUUUAGACCUAGCCGUUAACGGCGACAGUUUAGUUCAAGACACUCCGAUAGAAUCCGUGAAGAAGGUGGAGGCCAAGAUCUUGAUUGAUAAAGAAUCGGCGAUGAGAAAAGCAAUUAAGAACAAGAGAGGUAUAUUCAGAUGGAUUACUAAGUCAACGAAAAAACCAUAAGAAG